AGGGAUUUAUUAGUAAGCACGUGUAAUCUUUGGCAAAAGGGAACCUGAAAAUGCAUUUCCCUGGGGACCCGGCGCCAGUUGAUGCCUUUCAGCCAGUGGCUGACCUUGGAGACGCAGAAAAGCAGGAUUCCAGGACACAUUUACGACCGUCAUAAUUGGAGAGACAGCCCUGCCCCUCCAAGGCCACCCUGCAGGCUUUGUCUACCAGGCACUUCCUCCUCUCUCCCAGGAAGCACGUGUGACUCUAACACUCCCUUGCGCUCCCACGUUGCCUCAUGGAGAUUCUGGGGGAGAAGGCGGUUUUGACUUCUGCGAUUUGAAGAUGCUCUCCCAAACGGCAGAAGGAUGUUGCUUGGCUGGCAGUGGGCACACAUGCUGGCCACUGCCCAGAUCCCCUGGCUGUAGGGUGCCAGGGUUGGGAGAGUCCUCCAACACCCCUAAGCACCACUGAACUCAUGGGGAGACUGAGGCACAGACAGGCUGUGCAUUCCCAGGUCGCUCUGCUUGCUCCUGGACCAAGUAUCCAACCUGGAAAGUCCUCCCAGUGGAAAUAGGCAUACUCUCAGCCUCCCAGCGCAGGAAGGAAUAGGAAAGGGCCCUUCUUAGAUCCAGCACAGUGCUUGGCACAUGGAAAGCACCUGGUUAACUUUGAUAAAUAAAGAAAAAUGAUUCUCCAAAGCCCCCUCCCACUCAACCUCUCCUUUCCUCAGAAGCCUGGCCUCCACUAGAGGCCAUUCUCUCUGGAGCAGGAUGCUCCUUUGUCCUCAGAGCUGUGCUUCCCAGGUGAGUACCACUCCCCUCCAUUGGAUACAGACAAAGUGUCUGCAUCCUCACAGCCUAGCAGGGUGCCUGGCCCACGGCGGACUCCCAACCAAACAUGUGUUCCCUCCCUUCCAGUGAGAAAGAGACUCUUUUUCCUUCUGGAAGCAGACUACCUGGAAAUGAAUUUAAGUUUUUGAAAACUGCUCACGGCCAGCAUCAAGCUCGGGGCCAGUGUUAUAGCCAGAGCCCCUCAACAAAGGCUAGGAGGAUGUACACAGAGGCUAAAUGGUGCUGAGCGGGGUGGACGUCUGGGCUCUGAACAGUUACCCCGGGAAAUUGGCACAGAAAAGAGGAUGUGCUGGGCUUCCCCUGUGGCUCAGCAGUAAAGAAUCCGCCUGCAGUGCAGGA